UGGAUAGUCCCAAAAGUCUUGAAUUUAGUCUCUUUUAUAUAGUAGGAUAUACUUUUUGCGUUAAUCUAUCGUUGCCGUGAUGACUGAUUCAUAAAUCUUUUUUGUUUAAACGGCUUGAUGUUUCACUUAUUAUUUGGACAACUUGUUUAUCACAAAAAAACCAACAUUUUCUUAUACUGACGGAAGCCGUUUAGAAAUUGAACGUUGCUGGGAAUGAAAUGUCAAUUUUACUAACAUGUUUUAGUAAAGGUUUUGUUUCAUUACUAAAAUAGUUAAAGGUUUAAAGUUUGAUGAGUUGACAGUCCAGGUUUUGUUUCAUUAAAUUCUCAAAAAUUUAAUAUACUAACCUUUCCAACUUUGAAUGGUGAUUUCAGUUUGAGGGCCCCCAAAAGUCUUUUUUUUUUUUUUUGUUAAAAUAUUAAAUAUUAUACCAGAUUUUGAGUUUGUGACAGAAGAUACAUAAAUAUUAGUAGCCGAAUGCAAAAAUGAAACUAAACACAUAAUCUUGAC
rnacentral:lncRNA from 1 species